rnacentral:rRNA from 1 species
AUUGAACGCUGGCGGCAGGCCUAACACAUGCAAGUCGAACGAGUGGCGGACGGGUGAGUAAUGUCUGGGAAACUGCACGAUGGAGGGGGAUAACUACUGGAAACGGUAGCUAAUACCGCAUACCAUCGGAUGUGCCCAGAUGGGAUUAGCUAGUAGGUGUGGUAACGGCUCACCUAGGCGACGAUCCCUAGCUGGUCUGAGAGGAUUGCCAGACACACUGGAACUGAGACACGGUCCAGACUCCUACGGGAGGAAGCAGGGGGGAAUAUUGGACAAUGGGCGAAAGCCUGAUGCAGCCAUGCCGCGUGUAUGAAGAAGGCCUUCGGGUUGUAAAGUACUUUCAGCGAGGAGGCGUUACUCGCAGAAGAAGCACCGGCUAACUCCGUGCCAGCAGCCGCGGUAAUAC